UACUCCCAGUUACCAAAUUAACCUCUCACACGCAUCGCAGAACCUCCCUCCACCUCUUCUGACUUCACCGCCCCCAUCUUCCCUCCCCCAUACAACUGCUCCUGGUGCCUCUCCUGCACCGCCCUGCACCGGCGCCUCCUCGGCUCGCCGCGCGUCGCGGGAUCGUUUCCCCUCCUCGCACACUGUCGACACUGCCAUAGGCGGAGGUGCUGCCGCCCACGCAAUCUAACACCGAGGCGAGGCGCCGGCGCAUCGACACCAAUGCGGGAUCCGUCCGCUCUCCUCGCUUGCCGUUGAUGCCGGCCAUAGGCGGAGAUGCCUCUGCCCCACGUGAUCUGGCAAGGUCGUCUACCGUCACAACUACCCUUGAGAUCCAGUGAGGUCGCCUUCCGUCACGGCUGCAGGUGACUUGGGCGUGGUAGUCGUCCCCAUCAUCACCACUAUCCCCAUGGCACGCGGUGGUCCUUCCUGGCUUCGAGGACUUCCAGACCCAAAGCUCAUUUGUGCUACGAUGUGUUUACUGGAAUGCAUCUUCAACAAUGGUACCAUGCAUUUCCUCUUCUAGCCAAUUUAUUUGGUGUAUCCUUUUGUUGUGAGGAAAACAAUUGUUUACCCUUUUCUUCUUGAAACAGAUAAAUGUUGCAUUAGUUCACCCUGUCAUUAUCUCAUUCCACCCCUAACACAUGUUAUAACUUUUCUUCUUUGAUCAUUGAUGCUCUUCCAAACUGCAGGGGCUAAUAGAAUAUCUUCCUGAAAAUUUCCUUGCUCCAGUACAUUUAAAACGAUGAACUUCCUUUCUUCAGUAGAAGUGCUGCCCCCGUGGAUAUAUAUGGGAACCACUUUCUACAAUAUAAAUGAGGUGAUCGUCUACUUUCCAUAUCAUUUUUUUUGAAGAUUAGCUUCUUGCAUCCUAAUGCUCAUUUUUUGUUAGUUAUUCAUCUACUACCACUAUAAAAGAAAGAGAGGGCGAAGAACCAGAUCAUCCUAUCCAUCGAAACCUGCAAUCUGAUGGUCUACAUCCCUCCAGCAUACUAAACGCGUUUUACGCUUUAAUUACCCACCAUGCCAUCUACUACCCCUAUAAAAGGAAGAGAGGGGCAGAUCCAAACAAUCAGGUCCGUUCAUUUACAACAAUCUGAUGGUCCAUAAUUCUUCUAUGUUUGACGCUACAAGCCACGUAUUGAGGCCAUCGCUAACCCUGCUCCGCGGUUAAAAAAAAUCUACCCACAACGCACGCACGAUCUCUCGCCCCCUGCAUCCUCCCGCACGGGCCGUUCCUCCACGCCCGCACGACCUCUCGCCAUCUCCUCCUCCCGCACGGGCCAUUCGCCGCCCCGCCGUUCCUCCCUCCCUCCCUCCCCCCCCCCUCCCGCCGCCGCUCAGCUUGGCGGAGCCGCCGGAGCCACCCCCUUCGCCGCCAUCCAGUAGCUGGCAACCGGCGCGCUCCCACGUCGCCGCCGGUGGGCCGCCGCAAGACCGUCGUCGCCCGCGUCCAUACCCUCAUCCAUCUGCAUAGCCCCGGCUUCGUCUCCUCCGCGCCGAGGCCGUACGCGCCCUUGAUUUGGACGGCAGUACCACCGGGGCGCAUCACCUUCUUGUGCCUCCCACAUCGGCCUCCAUCUCCAUGGUUGUCCUCCUCUGUACCCAAUGUCUGUCUAUAAGCUUCAUGUGCAUCAGUAGUCUUGAGCCACCAAUCUGGAUCGAACAGGUCGCAAGGGCUUGCCGGCAACACCUGAUCUUUGAUCUGGUUUGUAUGCAUGCGUGUGUGUGAUUAGUUUCAGCGGCCACAUGUCGUUGUAGUAAGAUGAUGCAUCACGCAUUGAAUGGAACCAUAAGGCUAGGAGCGUGUGCACACACUGGCGUCGGCGGCAUGGUGUCAAGCUGCGGAGAAGGCAUCCGGCGAGGCGGCCAUCAGGUUCUCCAUCUCCUCUUGAAUUCUGCUAAUUAUCUUGGCAUUUUAUUGGCCUGUCAAACAAGAGCAUCCAUCACCAUCUCCCCAUAUACACUCGUACUGAACACCAUACCCGACUGCUACUUUGGUACAGUACGGUGAUUAGUCUUUCCUAAUUCUCUUGACCAAAGCAUUGCCCUUUGCUAUUUCUCAGUUUCUAUAUCUCCGGAUUAAUCGAUGAGUCAAAAGCUGAUGCUUCCGUUUCGAAAUCAUAGUUUUGUUUUCAAAAUCAUAGAAAAGUUCGGGACGGCUAGACUAUAGCAUGCUCUGGACAUCCUACUGAUGCCGAUGAUUUUGCUUUGCAGGUGGAUAAGUGGAUGGCACAUGUGUAUAUUGCUGUUGAGGGAUUAUAUUUGACAUUUUAUUUUUAUCCCAACACUAGAUUGAAGUGGUGAUUUACAAAGGAUUUUUAGUGGGGCACAAGUGUAGAUUGAUACAAAAGCAUGCUGAAUAGUGAAGUAGUACCAUGCUAGAAUUACUUGGCUACAUUUUUUUUGUUUCUUUGAUGCAAUGUAAUCUUUGUUGUUCCUGUUAUUAGUGAUUUUUCUAGAACAUCGGGUAAGCACUAUGCUAAAAAAAAAGCUAUUCUAGAAAAGGAUGAGAAGAGCUAUUCCAGAAAAGGAUGAGAAGAGCCUCAAGGUACAUUCUUUUUAUUCUGCCAGUGUGUCUUACAUAUUUUCUAGCUUGCAAUGCUUUAUAAGAUAUUUCAUAUGGAGGUCAAUGUUGAAAAAAAAGGAGUAGUCAACUUGUGGAGAACAAUGUUAAUCAAGCUCUCAUGAUAUUUCCUCUGCUUCAAGAUGCUUUCUCAGCUAUUUGUUAACAUGCUUCUGAACUUUGAUUUUCUUUACUAAACUAGACCAUUGUGCAGGAUCAUGAUGGGUCGUCCUUAAAAAUCUUGACAAUUACCCUUGACACAACACAUGGGAUGUGCUCAAUCCUACUUAUUUUUGUCUGUUAUUUUAUAUAUGUUUUUCACCUCAGAGAUUUUAUUAAAUUUCAGUUGGGUUAUAACAAGAGAUGCAAAUAAAGAACUUUAUUACGGGUUUUCAUAAAACAAAUAUAUACUUCCAAAUACCUUGAAGGUUAUUGAUUAUAUGCAGCAAGGCCAUUUGAUUAAGUUGGCUCUUUUUUGACACCAAUUUAUAUGCAAGCUAUUUGAAUAUAUAUUUGUGGAAGAAAGUACAGAAGUGUGUUUGGGUGAGGCCAAGGUUAAACAUCUCACAUUUUGUUUCAGAAAUCAUCUCUACUUAAGUCCAAGAGGUCAUCAGGUGAUGAGAUGGAUGAACUCCCAGUUUGCAUUUAUUGGGAGCUAUGAAACUGGUAAAAUGAUUAUGGUUCCCGCAACUCCUAAGCCUAUUACAUUGGAACUUGGUGAAGAAGACCUAUUCCUAUUUGAGUAUGUUGACAUCGACAAAAGGCAGCAAAGAGAACAAGUAUUGAAGGGGGCAUAAAGAACUAUGGGAGAAGCAUCCAUUUGACAAGCUCAAAGUCAUUGGUUCGCACUACCGUGGUUAUAUCAAAGAUGCAAUGGGAAAGAAAGUUAGCUUGUUCACCAUCUUGACUGCAUUUUCAUUGUUUCUUAUUAGGCCUGAGAUGUAGAUAUACUGGUAGGCAUUCUUCACCCAUUAUGACUGAAGCCUGAUUAUCACAUUGUAUUGCCAUGCGUUACAAACUGUUUUUGAAAUGUAACUCCUGCACAUCAUACGAGAACUUGGUUUAGAUUAUGAUUAUUCAUUUACAUAUCAUUAUUUACACUCUUGUCUUAGAGUAAGAAAACUUGGUUCUUUGAAGUUCAGAUUAUGAGUUCACAAUUAGUUUAAUCCUGACCAUGUACAGUUUUUUGUAUAAAAUGGUGCGUAUUUUUGUACAGAAAGAAGCGAGAGCACAUGGUAUUUAUAGUUUCUGCUUACCUCUGACCUUGGUUACUUUGAAUGAUUAUAUGCUUACUCACCGAGUAUAAUAGCUCAUUUUUUGUUCUUUGAAGAAUUGAAGGUAUUACUAUACUCACUGGGUAUAAUAGCUCAAUUUUUGUUCUUUCUAACUACUAAGUGAUAAAAUGUUAUGCUGCAAUAUUUGGUUCCUGUUUUAGUGGAAAUUGGAGCUUUUACCUAUAGUUUGCGGAAAUCUGUGUUUUGAAUACUUUCAAUGAGGCAGAGGUUAAAUGCUCUGUAAAUAAAGACAGACAACAAGGAUUAGUGAGUUUAUGUCUUUGUUUGUACUGUUUUUAUACAAGGACAACAAUGAACGACAUAUGUACUUUUCAUCCUAUUUGUUUCUAGCAUGUAAAUGUAAGUAUUUCUUCAUACACGUGAGAAAGAAAAUAUUAGUUCUUACACGUUUGAGGAUAUGUAUAACCAUAAUAUGUAAUGCAAUUGUGGUGAGGUAGAACGAGGAGGAGAGGUGUGUGAUGCUAGACAUAUUAGCAAAAUUUUUAGUUCAGUUGAUUACAUUCAUGAGUGUUCUUCCGUUGCAACAUACGGGCCUUGUUCACUGCAUACACAGAUAUACUACUAUCUUAUAGAAUAUGUUGAUCAAGGAUGAAGAGGUGGAUAAGUUUGUGGCUUUAGUUACUGAAUGUCCAGAUCUGGCUUGCUUCUCAACUAGGGCCUACAUUUAGAGAAGACAUAUUCAUAUGUACGUGAUUUAUAAGGUCCUUUUUCUAUACAUGUUUGCAAAGUUUGUCGGUAUAUUAUGCAGAGACAACUUGCCAUGGUCUGCGUAGAUGUGUUCUUUAUUUCUCAAUUUCUUUUGCUUUAAAACGAUGUUGAUUGGCUGAAAGAAUGGUUCUGCAUGGUUUGCACUCACACCUACUUGAAUUUAGAGUUUUAUUAGCAAAUCCAUUUAGAACAGUGUUAACAUUUUACAUUUUUCUACAGAAAGUUGUACACUGCAGGGGUCUAUACCCACAAACCAAGGAAGGCAACUCAGAAGUUUUUCCCUGCCAAUAACCAAGAUUCACAAGGAUAGGAGGGCAGAGAUAUCAUGCUGCCAUGGAACUGGUCCAUUUGUCAUUGCCUUGCUGCUUUCAUGUUCCCUGAUAUUCAGUAGCCAUAUACUUUUAGGACUUAGGAUGUGAUUUCACAUGCGUUGCUGAUCAUAGUUGAUGCUUUUGUCGGUUCAGGGUGAGCUAUUUUGUGUACAAUUGCUAUUGGCCGUGUAAUGACUGGCUAUGCAUGGCUCUGUUUUAUUGAGCUUAGAUGAAAAUUUGAUGGACCACCUAAAUUCAUACGAAACAAACAAAGGCUAAGUAGAGCCCCAAAUUAGAGACACGAUGGAUGUCCAUCCUGAUCACUAUUAGAUUUUGUCAUCGAAGAGCUACUAAUAGACUUACAAUCUCGAAUGACUACCUGUAUUUUUCAGAAAA